rnacentral:rRNA from 1 species
UACAGAGGGUCUCAAGUCGUUGAUUCGGAUCAUUGGGCGUAAAGGGUGCGUAGGCGGCGCGGUAAGUCGGGUGUGAAAUCUCGGAGCUUAACUCCGAAACUGCAUUCGAUACUGCCGUGCUUGAGGACUGGAGAGGAGACUGGAAUUUACGGUGUAGCGGUGAAAUGCGUAGAUAUCAGGAAGAACACCCGUGGCGAAGGCGGUUCUCUGGGACGGUACUGACGCUGAGACGCGAAAGCGUGGGGAGCGAACAGG